GGGGUCGACUGGUUUUGACAGCGAGUGGAAUUGAUUAGUAAGCACGUCGAGCCAAGUAUGGUAGGCUCGUAAAUAUCUGCUAUACAACUUUUAAACGGCGAAAAUAAUUACGCUUUAGCUGCUUAAUCUGAAUUAUAGUAAGAUUUGCCUAGUUCCGACAAGGUUGGAAAGCUAGAUUCACCUCGAAUCCUUGGUUUAUGGAGUUUGAUUCAGGUGAACCGUAAAAGUAAACCUAGGAAAGGUAAAGCUUUAAAUCCUUUCUGACAAUUAUAAAGCUAAGCAAAAAGUGGCUGUUUUGGUCUAGCUUUUUGUCGAAAAUUUAAACAGAAACUAAACGCGUAGAAAGCUCUUCGAUUGCUUGUUUGGACGAGAGUUCGAUUCUCUCCGACUCCACAG
rnacentral:tmRNA from 1 species